CCCUUAGAUGUUCUGGGCCGCACGCGCGCUACACUGAUGCAUUCAACGAGUCUAAAACCUGCUCUGAUAGGGGUGGGUAAUCUUUUGAAUGUGCAUCGUGAUUGGGAUAGAUGAUUGCAAUUUUUCAUCUUCAACGAGGAAUGCCUAGUAAGCGCAAGUCAUCAACUUGCGUUGAUUACGUCCCUGCCCUUUGUACACACCGCCCGUCGCUACUACCGAUUGAAUGGUUUAGUGAGGCCUUCGGAUCCGCGACUCGUUUGUGGAGAAGUUGGACAAACUCAGUCAUUUAGAGGAAGUAAAAGUCGUAACA
rnacentral:rRNA from 1 species